UACGGGGGGGGCAAGCGUUGUUCGGAAUUACUGGGCGUAAAGGGCUCGUAGGCGGCCAACUAAGUCAGACGUGAAAUCCCUCGGCUUAACCGGGGAACUGCGUCUGAUACUGGAUGGCUUGAGUUUGGGAGAGGGAUGCGGAAUUCCAGGUGUAGCGGUGAAAUGCGUAGAUAUCUGGAGGAACACCGGUGGCGAAGGCGGCAUCCUGGACCAACACUGACGCUGAGGCGCGAAAGCGUGGGGAGCGAACAGG
rnacentral:rRNA from 1 species